rnacentral:rRNA from 1 species
CACGUAGGGUGCGAGCGUUGUCCGGAAUUAUUGGGCGUAAAGAGCUCGUAGGCGGUGUGUCGCGUCGGCCGUGAAAACCUGCAGCUUAACUGUGGGCUUGCGGUCGAUACGGGCAUCACUGGAGUUCGGCAGGGGAGACUGGAAUUCCUGGUGUAGCGGUGAAAUGCGCAGAUAUCAGGAGGAACACCGGUGGCGAAGGCGGAUCUCUGGGCCAUAACUGACGCUGAGGAGCGAAAGCAUGGGGAGCGAACAGG